GGCGAACAAAUGUUUAAUUAAAUAUUUAUUGAAACUAUCAAUGCUGUAUUUUAAUAUAUAUAAAUCUAAUGUUUAAGAAUAUCUAAAACCCAUACACUAUUGAGUAGUACAGAAGACUAGAUAUAAUAAAAGUGCAAAGUCUAUUUGUACGAUAAUUAUAGGACGAUAGUGCAAGUCAACAGUACUUCCUAGCGUACAUGGUGUAUAAAACCAGAGUCCAUAUUUUAUGUUCAAUAAUUUUCUGAAUACAUAUAUUUUAUCGAAUAGUUUGACAUUUAACUUGGCCGAGAAUUUUACGAAUUUCGAAUGCUCGGCAUGAUUAUAUGUCAAACCUUUCAAUAAGAUUAUUAUUGAAGGAUUUGCAUGAGUUUAGCGCUCUAAACGGAAAAUACUUUCUGAUUUUAAAAGACUGAACACAUGCAAAGUAGUUCGUUGAGCUUUUCUUUAUAUCAAUUUUUCUGCUGUUUUUCUUAACAUAUAUUUAAAAAAUAAACACCUCAAAUUGGUCGCAAUGAGAUUGCUAAUAAACACCUCAAAUUGCACGCAAUUCUAUUAGACAUUUCUUUUUGUUAACACAAUAAGUUAGUAUCGACUGCCGUCUUGGUAUUGCAUAGUGCAUGAGCAAUUUUUGAUUCUCCAAUCUGAGCCACAUUGAAUAAUAUUUUUUGCGAAACAAUCGCUUAAAUUUGAAUAAUAUAUAGCCUACUGUUGAAAAGUUCAAUGAACAAGCUUUUUUAAAAUGAAACUAAACAUAAACGUUUCAUAAACGUUUUCCGUACUACUAUUUUUGAAAUUCAUGUUUCAAUCGAGGGCUCCGUUGUUUAUAUACCCUGUGUAUUAAUAUACAGGUUAUAGUUUUCAGGAAAGGUUUCUUCCAGCAUUCGUGCUACCCCCUGCAGGUCAACUUUGCAGGUCAGGUUCGUGUGUACGAUGGUAAUUUAUGAUUGUCAUUUCAUAUUCAUGUUCAUAUUGAUAUACAUCAUAGUAACCAUAUGUCAUAGUGACCAUUGUCUCCUUUUGCCGUCGUCUAAAGAAUUACAGUUACAGCUUAGUACGUAGCAAAAUAUUGGGCAAAGGAAGCACACAGUGGCGUAGCAAACUCGAUAAUGGGGGGGGGGGGGGGGGGCAAUAUUCAUAUUUUCGUG